rnacentral:rRNA from 1 species
AGGAUUAACGCUGGCGGCGUGCCUAACACAUGCAAGUCGAACGAGGUAGCAAUACCUAGUGGCAGACGGGUGAGUAACGCGUGGUCAACCUACCGUUGAGUGGGGGAUAACUAGCCGAAAGGUUAGCUAAUACCGCAUACGUCUCCGAGGGGCAUCCCUUGGCGAUAAAAGGAGCAAUCCGCUCGAUGACGGGACCGCGUCCCAUUAGCUAGAUGGUGGGGUAACGGCCUACCAUGGCACCGAUGGGUAGCUGGUUUGAGAGAGCGACCAGCCACACUGGGACUGAGAAACGGCCCAGACUCCUACGGGAGGCAGCAGUGAGGAAUUUUCCGCAAUGGGCGCAAGCCUGACGGAGCGACGCCGCGUGUGGGAAGAAGGGCCUUCGGGUCGUAAACCGACUGUCGAAGGGGACGAUAAUGACGGUACCCUUGGAGGAAGCCCCGGCUAACUACGUGCCAGCAGCCGC